GCUUUUUCCUCAAGAUUUUUCAAUCCUCUUUCAAUUAUCUGCACAACACUGAUUAAACCUAUACGAUGCCUGCGUAGAAAACUAAAGGUGCUUUGCAUAGCUUUUGAUAGACAAACUAUAUUUGUGGAUGAUCUAACAUUAAAAAGCACAAUCUUUAACCAAUAAGUGUAUUUUUCUUAAACAUUUUUUCUCAUGGCAUCAAUGGUUAAACAUCCACAUCAUUGAAUAUGUAGAUAUGCAUAAUGUUGUAUAGAUAAUAUUACCUCAUCUUUGUUUGAUAAAGCAUUUCUGAAUUUGAUUCUAGUAUUUCAUAAUUAUUAGGUACAGUUAACCUAAAAAAAGUAAUAUCAGCAAGCUUAUACAACUGAUGGACCAACCCUCUUUUUCAUGCGUGAAAUAAAUUAAUUUAAUCAGGAUUAACAAACAAAUGUUAGUAUAGUCCACUGAGCAUUACAUAACGUGUUAGGCUUUGGUGAAUUCACAAAGCAUUAUAUAGUCAGACAAUGCAAAUGAGCACCAUGCAAAAUACUGCUUAGGGUUUAUUGGUCCUUUUGUUUUCAUUUGUUCUGAUCUUGUAAGAAUUAUAGUCACAUAACUAUAAUUCAGCCAACAUCUGUUAUCCUCACUUUUGUUAAAAAUAAAUCAAUUUCAUAUGGAACGAUGUUGGAGCUCAAAGUCCAUCUAGUUCUAACAUAUAUUCUCUUAUCAGUUAUAGGUGCAAACAACCAUAUUUUAAAAUUGCAGGAAUUUAUGUUAUAAUUUUCACUCUGACUUAUUUGUAUCCAAUGCUACUCAUGGGUUAAGUUAUUCAACAUUGUUACGCAACUUCAUUUUAUAAUAUAUAUAUUUCCCCAUCAGUUGAUAUGAUGCAAGCUUAAGAACGUCAAACACGGAAAAAAAGAAGGCAGAUAAAACUCCAAUUAAGAGCUUAUGUUGAACAACAAAGACACAUGGCAAUCCUGACCCUGCAGCAUAGUUUCAUAAUUAGCAUAGGAAAAUUGGCAGUGAAUAAUCAAGGAAACUAAAUCAUGGGAGUCGUGAUUAGUAAGUGAGAACAGGUGAGCUGAUUAAAAAUAUGGAACAGGUGCUAAAAUGUGGAGGCUAGAAAAUAGACAAGCAGUGAUAUCUGGAAACUGGAAAGAAUUUAAAUUCUAAAUGUACAUAAAUAGAUAAAAAACGAUACUAACACAGAAGCAUGAAACCAAUUCAAAAGCUAAACAAUUAAAAGCCUCAGAGUCUGAAGGUGACUCCUUCGGUUACUUUGGACAAAAAAUAUUUAAAUCAUAUUUAAACUAUAACAUGCAUUUUCAGAUAUUAAAAUGAAUCCAACUUAAAAGAUUAAAAUACUUCUUAGCUUAGCGAGGGAUGAUGCUGUCCUUUGUGACUGUUUAAACAUUUAUUAGGACACCCUUGAUGCUUAAUUUUUACCUGAGCUUAGUAUAGAACAGAUUGUCAUACAACAACAGAGGUGAUGUGUUCUUGUAUCUCUGUUGGAUCUGAAAAGCUUCACAGCUCAUUGAGUUCCUGUAGUGAAACUGACCCUGCCAAUGUGAAUGACUCACAUCAUCAGUCAGCUGUUUAAACAACUCAAGUUAGUGACUGAUUCAUUCCCCCUCACCUCAGAGGGCAGUUGAUAGUGAUGUUACCUCACGCCUCAUACAAGCAUUUAACAGACCUGAAAACAUCUUUUUAAUGAAACAGGCAGAUGUUUAUUAAAUCUGCCCUUUGGUGUCCAGGGCAUCUGGCAGCAUCAAAUCAUUAAAUCAGGAGCUUCUAAUGCCUACUUAAGAGAAGCACAAUAACAUGUCUCUGUGCAUGUAGUUCAUACAUUCCUAGUAUGAGGAUCUAAUAUUUGGCUUAGAUGGUUUUAAUAUUUUGGUUGUUAUAAAAACUGGAUUGAAGGCCUGGUUUUACUAUAUCAUUUUGUGAGACUUAAUGAUAGCUGAUGUGAAGUAACUUUGUAGAAUAAGAUUAUUUUCUACUAAAUUCUGAGUAAAUUAAUUAUCCCCUAUAUUUUUGGUAUUUCCUGCUCUUCAUUUUUUUCCAGCAUAAAGCAAACCUCUGGCUUUGACCCCAUUGGAUACUGCUCCUCCUAUGCAGCCCAUGUAUGUUAGUGGACUCCGUCAUGGUUGAGUGGCCCCAUCAGCUCCUGGCGACCCACAGACUGAUACAGUGGGCUGUGACUCAUUUUGUGCACGGAUUCCUGUUUGUAUUUUAUUUGUGAGGACCAUAAAGAAAUUGCUCCAGCUAGCUAACACAGAUUAUCGACCGCCCCAUGCCACUGGUGAUUCAACAUACCCUUCCAAAGCUUCCAGCGUUUGACAGACUCUCCUUAUGCUCACAUAUUUCUCCUCUCCGCCAAGCCCUUGAUGGAUUUCUCCUGCUCUUCCAAUAACUGGACCACGACUCACACUCUGCAUCACGACCUCCGAGUCUCGCCUUCGCCUAUUUGACAAGUACCACUCUGUCUGUCUUCUUGUCUUCCUGCGUUUGUCCUCUGCCUGAUUAUUAAGAUGCUGGAUCUGUAUGUAGUGCCCUUUUUAGUUUAUUAAAACAAAGUGUAACUUUGACUUAAAAUAUGCAAUGUUUAUGAUUUUACACACUGCAAGAAAAGAGGGAUUUUCGACAGCUAUUGACACUUAGUGCUGCCGUGCGCUUAGAGGUUGAGGGCUAUUGGCAAUGUGAUUUUGUUAUUUAUUUAUAAUUCACAAAAAUGUUUUCCAGCUGCGCCAAGGACCUACUGCCAGUCAUCCAGAUGUUGGUCAAGAAAGAGGCAUGUGGUGUUGCUCAUCAUGGCAGUACAUAUGUUUUUCUGUGUGUGACGAAGGAACCACAUCCUGUCGCUGACUUGGACACAAAAGCUGUAGAUGGCUGGACAAAGAUGGACUGUGGUGAGGUAGAGACCCCAAGUUCCCCCAGCCAAGGGCUCAGUGACCUCAGGUCUACACUACAGGAGAGACAUUGGACUUUUCCUGAAAGCAGCACAAUGUUGGAUAAUGUUUGGACAAAAAAACACUGCCAAAUGGUCCAGAAGUGAACAAGCAUUUAUGUCUUAUUUUGUGUGGAAACUUUGAAAAAUAAAAUGAAAUAAA